AACCUGCUGUGUUUGGGGCAAAUGUUAUUCUACAGUGCACAUUAUGUGAUAAUGUUCCGUGUUGCAAUGCAUUUACGAGAAAAUGGACGAAGGGAACUAAUUAUGACCUGAUAGUUAUGAACAGUGUCUCAUUAAACAGUGCAAAAUAUGAAGAAACUUUAAAUGUUUCAACAAAGACUUCAAUUCUGACUAUUAAGAACUUCACAGAAGAAGACGUUAACAUACCGUACGAGUGUACAUACGGGUUUGAUACAGAUAGCAAGGUUCUAACUCUGAAUUCUACAGAUUUCGAAUAUCAUCCGACAGAAGAUAUUCCAGUUACACUACACAUUAACAGAAACCAAACAGCAACAGCCAGCAUAAUCUUUAACAAGGUUUAUCCUGUGCCAGAGUGUUUUGCCACUGAUGAUGGUUCCGACAUCACAAGCAACCUUUCGGUGGCAACUGAGAGAAAUGGGCUAUUUUACAGAUCAAAUCUACAGUUUCAGUACCAGUUGACAGAUAAUUGUUAUCAAAACAUUUCAAUCCAGUGCACAGUUGGCACAAC